AAAAAGACAAACUGUGGGUUCCCGUGCCAACGUUUGACUGUCCGUCUUAUAUGAAAUUUUUUUAUAAUUAGUAUUUUCAUUAUUGUUAGAUGAUAAAACAUGAUUAAUAACUUUAUGCCUUGACUUAUCUUUUUAAUUUUUUUAUAAUUUUUUUAAAUAAGACGGACGGUGAAACGUUAGACACGGAAACUAGGAUUUCUCUUUUU
rfam:Oryza rufipogon genomic scaffold, chr09